CGCGGAGUAGAGCAGUCUGGUAGCUCGCAAGGCUCAUAACCUUGAGGUCACAGGUUCGAAUCCUGUCUCCGCAA
rnacentral:tRNA from 2 species